rnacentral:rRNA from 1 species
GACGAACGCUGGCGGCGUGCCUAAUACAUGCAAGUAGAACGCUGAAGGAGGAGCUUGCUUCUCUGGAUGAGUUGCGAACGGGUGAGUAACGCGUAGGUAACCUGCCUGGUAGCGGGGGAUAACUAUUGGAAACGAUAGCUAAUACCGCAUAAGAGUAGAUGUUGCAUGACAUUUGCUUAAAAGGUGCAAUUGCAUCACUACCAGAUGGACCUGCGUUGUAUUAGCUAGUUGGUGGGGUAACGGCUUACCAAGGCGACGAUACAUAGCCGACCUGAGAGGUGAUCGGCCACACUGGGACUGAGACACGGCCCAGACUCCUACGGGAGGCAGCAGUAGGGAAUCUUCGGCAAUGGACGGAAGUCUGACCGAGCAACGCCGCGUGAGUGAAGAAGGUUUUCGGAUCGUAAAGCUCUGUUGUAAGAGAAGAACGAGUGUGAGAGUGGAAAGUUCACACUGUGACGGUAUCUUACCAGAAAGGGACGGCUAACUACGUG